UUUGGGAGGGAUCAAGGGGGAGCUAGGCUCGACCUGAAGUAUAUAUUGAAUGUUGUCUCAAUGCCCACAGAGGGUGUAAGGCCCGUAAGGUCGGCGCUUAGCGUCUCUCGCUGGUUCCUCUCGAGAGUCGGGUUGCUUGAAAGUGCAGCCCUAAGUAGGUGGUAAACUCCAUCUAAGGCUAAAUACUCCCACGAGACCGAUAGCCUACAAGUACCGCGAGGGAAAGUUGAAAAGAACUCUGAAGAGAGAGUUCAAGAGAGCGUGAAACUACCACGAGGCUAAAGCGAGUGAGCGUUCGUGUCCCGUCGGCUGGACUCAACCUAUCCCGGACGAAGGCGGCGGAGGGUCGCAAUACGUAUGAGACGGAUCUCCCGCGAGUGACCCCGGAAUUUUCGGGCCUCGAGGGUUGACCGGCGUUUUCUCCGUGCGCACGAAAGGGGGAUGUACUUCCGGCAGAAUUGGGGCGUCGCGGCCGUUCGAGAGGUGUCGAAGACAAGAGGGUCUGGGAAACCGCUUUUCUCGCGAUCGUC
rnacentral:rRNA from 1 species